UGGGCAGGAAUUUUUCCAAUUCGAUCUUGGAUUGAAUUAAAACAUUUCCUACAUUAUAAAUAGUCUUUAAACAUGUUUUUGAAGGGGAAUUCAAUUUGAGGCAAAGAACGCUUAGGAGUGAGUGAAUUUUAGUACUUAUUAUGUUUUCACAUACUUUAUGCGUAGCUAAUUUUCUAUUUAAGAUUUUGAUGAAACCUUUUGUUGGAUGAG
rnacentral:lncRNA from 1 species